CUUAAUGCCAACUAUGACACCAGCAUUUUGAUCUGUUAAUUUGUGAAAGCCUAAUCGAACGUGAGACGGACUGCCACUACAAAAAAUAAAAAUCAUGAAAAUGAGAGCUUUUAAGUCAAAAGCAAAAAAAAUAGCUGCUAUCGGAAUUCUUAAGUAACAUAAAGCAAAGCAAAAGUAAUAGACAUAUACUUUGGCCCAUGAGUGCAAUGCGCAGCAGAAAGUACCCAGACUGGUAUUGAUGGAUGGCAAUUCCUGCAAUCUACCCGACGUUGAAGGCUCAAUUUCAGUAGGAUCUUCGGUAGGAAAAACAAAAUCUGGUG